AUUGAACGCUGGCGGCAGGCCUAACACAUGCAAGUCGGGCGAGCGGCGGGCGGGUGAGUAAUGUAUCGGGAUCUGCCUGAUGGAGGGGGAUACCUACUGGAAACGGUAGCUCAUACCGCAUACCCUCAGAUGAACCCAUAUUGGAUUAGCUUGUAGGUGAGGUAAAGGCGAACCUAGGCGACGAUCCCUAGCUGGUCUGAGAGGAUGAUCAGCCACACUGGGACUGAGACCCGGCCCAGAAUCCGACGUGAGGCAGCAGUGGGGAAUAUUGCACAAUGGGUGCAAGCCUGAUGCAGCCAUGCCGAGUGUAUGAAGAAGGCCGUCGGGUUGUAAAGUACUUUCAGUCGGGAGGCGUUACCGACAGAAGAAGCACCGGCUAACUCCGUGCCAGCAGCCGCGGUAAUUC
rnacentral:rRNA from 1 species